rnacentral:rRNA from 1 species
GAUGAACGCUAGCUACAGGCUUAACACAUGCAAGUCGAGGGGAAACGGCAUCGAAAGCUUGCUUUUGAUGGGCGUCGACCGGCGCACGGGUGAGUAACGCGUAUCCAACCUGCCCAUCACUUGGGAAUAACCUUGCGAAAGUAAGACUAAUGCCCAAUGACAUCCCACGAAGGCAUCCGAAUGGGAUUAAAGAUUUAUCGGUGAUGGAUGGGGAUGCGUCUGAUUAGCUUGUUGGCGGGGUGACGGCCCACCAAGGCAACGAUCAGUAGGGGUUCUGAGAGGAAGGUCCCCCACAUUGGAACUGAGACACGGUCCAAACUCCUACGGGAGGCAGCAGUGAGGAAUAUUAGGCAAUGGGCGAGAGCCUGAACCAGCCAAGUAGCGUGCAGGAUGACGGCCCUAUGGGUUGUAAACUGCUUUUAUAAGGGAAUAAAGUGGGUCACGUGUGACUUUUUGCAUGUACCUUAUGAAUAAGGACCGGCUAAUUCCGUG